CCUACGGGAGGCAGCAGUGGGGAAUCUUGCGCAAUGGGCGAAAGCCUGACGCAGCCAUGCCGCGUGAAUGAUGAAGGUCUUAGGAUUGUAAAAUUCUUUCACCGGGGACGAUAAUGACGGUACCCGGAGAAGAAGCCCCGGCUAACUUCGUGCCAGCAGCCGCGGUAAUACGAAGGGGGCUAGCGUUGCUCGGAAUUACUGGGCGUAAAGGGAGCGUAGGCGGAUAGUUUAGUCAGAGGUGAAAGCCCAGGGCUCAACCUUGGAAUUGCCUUUGAUACUGGCUAUCUUGAGUACGGAAGAGGUAUGUGGAACUCCGAGUGUAGAGGUGAAAUUCGUAGAUAUUCGGAAGAACACCAGUGGCGAAGGCGACAUACUGGUCCGUUACUGACGCUGAGGCUCGAAAGCGUGGGGAGCAAACAGGAUUAGAUACCCUGGUAGUCCACGCUGUAAACGAUGAGUGCUAGUUGUCGGCAUGCAUGCAUGUCGGUGACGCNGCUACGCAUAAGACACUCCGCCGUCGGGAGGUACGGUCGCGAAGAAUUAAAACGUUAAAAGUAAGUUAGACGGCGUGAGACGUAGCCGACGGACGACGACGAGGGAGGAGG
rnacentral:rRNA from 1 species